rnacentral:lncRNA from 10 species
GGCGAUUCAGGCUUGGAGGCAAGGGAACACUGACACAUAUUCAAUACAUAUGAAAGACGAUACCAGUUAAGAGAAGAAGAAGGAGAUUAGCAAUGAAGAGGGAAAGCGAGAGAAAUACCAGGAAGAAAAGGAGAUGGGCAUAGCGAAGGAGAAAAAGUUCCAAAUGAAAGAGAAACAGGAAGUGCUGAGGAGAGAGAAGAAAACAGGAAUGUUUCUGAAGGACCAAAAAUGUUUGAUAAAUUAUGACUGUUACACAGAGAGCCAUCUCCCUGGGAAAUGCUGUUGAGUUGGCUAACCACUGUUCCUGGAUCUGCAGCUCUUUGUUCUGUCUGGUAAAACACACAGUGACCACUAGGGAGAAAUGACUCUCUAAGCCACAGUACCAUUAUCUGGGUCACUAUUACCCCAGGCUCAGGUUGUUAAAUAAAAUUUAUAGGAGGCCAUUGCUUUGGACAGAGUCCUUCCACUGGGCUCCAACAGACCAAAGCAAACCAGAAUAGUGUCACUUGUGCUACCUGACAUGUGCUCAAACUGAACUUUAAAACGGGCCAGUUUUCCAAAAAUCAGGAGAUUUACAGCAACCAACUGAAAGUGAAGUGGUGUCAUUCAUCUGGGGUGAUACCUGAGGUUCACUGCCUCAUGCCAAAGAAAUCGAGGAUGCAGACACACACAGAGUGAGUUUAACAGGCGAAAGAAAGAGAAUAGGUCUCUCUCCUGCAGAGAGGGGGAUUCUCGAGUAGGUCUUCCGGUUCCAUGGUGAAAUGCACAGGGUUUUAUAGAUGAUCUUGAGGAGGCAGUGUCUGAUUUACAUAGGGCCCAAAGGUUGGUUGGACCAGGUGUGUCAUUUACAUAACGUGCGAAGAAGAUGGCUACCCCACCCUAAUCUUUUAUUAUGCAGAUAUGUGCCAUAUUGCCUGUUUCUUUACUGUACACGUGGUGACAAAGAAAAGGGAAGAUGGAGCCUCCAUGCUGAACAUGCCUGGUCCCCAGGUAGCCUUUUCCUAUUGGCAUAGCUGCCAGCAUUCAUCCAUGCAAGCUUCCAGUUUGCUUAUCUAUGUUUGCAGCUCAACUUUUCAGGCCACUCUUUGUUAGAAAAGAAAUGAUUCGGGGGCUGCUUUUUAUUAAAAGGGUAACCUUGCUGAGGACUCUCUUACCCUCACUAACUGCCUAAUUUCUUUCUAGCUCCUGUAUCAAAAGGGUCCCCAUCCACCUGCACAGGCAUGAGAGGGAAGUCCCCUGUGUAUAAACCCUUUAAGGAAAGUAACUUUGAAAUGACCAAGCCACUUCAUGUUUCUUGAUCUUGCUAUCCCCAGGCUUUUCUGCCCAUCCAUCUGCUUGGUUCUUCAAAGCACCUUUUCUAUUUUAUAGAUAAGAUGCUGCCUGAUUCACAAAUCGAUAAUAAAAGCCAACUGGACCUUUA